GACGAACGCUGGCGGCGUGCUUAACACAUGCAAGUCGAACGGAAAGGCCCUGCUUGCAGGGUCCUCGAGUGGCGAACGGGUGAGUAACACGUGGGUGAUCUGCCCUGCACUUCGGGAUAAGCCUGGGAAACUGGGUCUAAUACCGGAUAGGAGCCAUUUUUAGUGUGAUGGUUGGAAAGUUUUUUCGGUGUAGGAUGAGCUCGCGGCCUAUCAGCUUGUUGGUGGGGUAAUGGCCUACCAAGGCGGCGACGGGUAGCCGGCCUGAGAGGGUGGACGGCCACAUUGGGACUGAGAUACGGCCCAGACUCCGACGGGAGGCAGCAGUGGGGAAUAUUGCACAAUGGGCGCAAGCCUGAUGCAGCGACGCCGCGUGGGGGAUGACGGCCUUCGGGUUGUAAACUCCUUUCGCUAGGGACGAAGCUUUUUGUGACGGUACCUAGAUAAGAAGCACCGGCUAACUACGUG
rnacentral:rRNA from 1 species